rnacentral:tRNA from 1 species
ACGCCCGUAGCUCAACCGGAGAGAGUGCCUGCCUACGAAGCAGGUGGUUGCAGGUUCGAGUCCUGCCGGGCGUA